rnacentral:lncRNA from 1 species
CCCGCCCGUCCCAGAGCAGCGGAGGCCCGCCCUUUUCAUCUACAGCCUAUCGCAGAGCACGUUGCCGUUCGCGCUGACCAAUAGGAGUGGUGGCCAUCACGGCAAGCCCCGCCCCGCGCCCUACGUCGGGUUAAGCGGGGUCCCUCGCCAGCCCCGCGCUGAACAUACGCCAGGUGGCGCUGUGGCGCGCGGCGGGGCUGUGUGCGCUGAGGCUGCUGAGCGGCGGGUGAGACGCUACCGUCGGCGGCUAGAAGUGCUCGGCUGCUGGCACCCGGGAGAGGAAGGUCCAGGGCGGGCCGGAGACGUAGGGGUCCGCGUCCCUGCGCCCAGGCCUGGCAGCUCCCCGCACUGUGGGCGCCCCGCACCCCAAGCCCCUGCCAGGGCCUUCCUUGGGCUCCCGCAUCCGAGGCUCUGAGACCGGAGUACGACGGAGCUCCUGCGCCUUCCGGGGCUGGGGGCCGGGCCCGCCCGUGCCGCUCCUGGCGGGGCCCUCCAUUGGCACACGCACACCGCAGAGCGUGGCCAUGGAACAGUAACCGGGCUUGUGAGAGGGCUCUACAGUAUCAACUAGGAGACAAGAUCCACGGAUUCACUGUCAACCAGGUAUGGGUCCUUCUCGGCACCUCCUUAUAAAUCCACAUACAUUGCAGGUGCGGCUUCUGACAUAGGUACGGGCCCUUCAGGGUGGAGACUAGCCUUGUCCUCGUGUCCCAAGGCCCUGGCCCAGCUCCUGUUGCAUGAUGGCUACUCGGCUGAACAGAGCUUGUGAGAGACAUGACCCCCGGUCCCUUCCUGGAAUGUCGCGAAGCCUGAUUCUUGUCAGAUUUGAGAGAGUAACACUUCCAGCUG